CGCUCCUAAUUUUUACUUGGAAAUGUAGACUCUGGUCUCACAAGUGCAUGAUUCUUUCAUUAACUCAGGACACUGAUGCAAUAUGUAAAUUCAUUCAGGCAUGAUACAGACUGGCCCAAACAUCAUACAGCCUAAAGAGAACUUUUCCUACAAGCAAUUUCCUAUUGAUUUCCUCGAGAGCAAGGCUCUGCCUGGUCCACUGGAGCUGUUACUGUAAGCCCUUUUAGGGAAUCAGGCACAUGCUCUCACUUGUGACUUAUUUCACAUAAUGUGAAUAAAUGUGACACCCACAAAAGGGAAAACUGUUUUAGGAACUUCUUUAGUUGCAUGGAUUUAUUAAUUAAAUAUGUUUAUUUCAAUUGUUUUCUGUUACUUUUAGCAACAGUCAAAGAAAGAGUUAAAAGGAAUAGCAUUCCCAACUUCCAUUUCAUAAAUCGAAUCCACUUGAAUUUACUAAGUUUCCUUAUCUGCUCACCCUCCCUCCUGCUGAUGUCCAAAAGGCUGAUGAGAUGGAACAUAUGAAUCUUCAGUGACAAAAUUUUCAAGAUUUUUACCUUGUACAUAGGCAAAGAGUAAGCAAAUGCUUGCCUAUGCACAUAUGAAAAUGCAACACAGGAAAUUAUGAGAUAAUCACCAGAGAAACUUGUGUGGAACUUGUGUUAGUUGUAGGCUUCAUAUUAUAAUUUAGCCAGUCAGAAUUUGGGUUUAUAUCCCAACAAAAGAGUACCACAAUUUCACCUACAGAAGUAAAUUGAUGGCUUGUUUGGUCCUAAUUUCACCCUUUUAAUCUCAAGUAAUUUUACUACGAAAUUGUAUUAAAAUGCUGUUGUUUGCUCGGACGUUGAUAGUACAUUCAUAAUGUAACACAUUCCUUUGGGAGGCAAGUGUGGUAUUAUAGCUUGUGAAUGUUUUCAGCAUGCAGGAAAAGAUCUGAAUGUAGAAAAUCAGAAAUCCAGUUUCAGGGGUUUUUUUUUCUGGCCAAAAUUGAGAGUCAAUGUCUUGCAUUUUCACUCAAUGUGAAGGAGCAGAUAAUAGGUAUUGUGAAUUGGAUUGUGCAGACCUUUUCCAUGUUUAGCAUGGCUCAUGAGCAAUUGCUUUGGAAGAAUUCGGUGUUUUUUGCAUUUGGAUGCAGUGCUGGCAAAUAAAUUAGAAAAUAACACCAGAAACAAUCAAUCAUCACCAAAACUGAUGAAGCUUUGCUUAAAAUAUGACUUCAUCAUAGUCUCUGGGUUGUUCUAUUGAGUAAGAGCAGUUGCCUUGACUGAUUAGUGAAGUUUCUCUCCUUGUCAAGAAGUAUUUUGAUUUAAGACUUUUGUAAAUAAUUAAUUAUUCUGGGUGUGGGCAAUUGGUCAGGUCCUAAUUCUUAAGAUAGAAAGGGCUAAGAACUUAAUUCUUAAGCUGCUACGACCCACCAAAGUAACAACUGUCCUUUUUAAAAUCCACAGACUGAUUUGUGGUUCAGUGCCAGAUUCUCAGGUGCGAGCAUUUCUAGGUGAGCAGCUAUCACUGCUUUCUGAGGACAGCUUAACACUGGUCAACAGCAAAUGGGAGUUUAAAUAAAACCCAACAAAGGUGAACCAGACUGCUGAGAGAUCUGUGUCUACCACUUCAGUCCAACAACAUCAAGCCUCUCUCCUUUGAUAGAGUGAGACCUUCAAAAGUAGGAAUUCAUCCUUGGCCAUGAAGGUAUUUAGCAUCAUUAGCCCCAGACCUCCCAAGGUCUAGAAGACUCCUCUCCAAAGGAAUCAAAGGUGCUGUGUCUCCUUUGCUUUGUAAGGUCACCAACAUGAAAUAAACCCCUUUCC